GGAUGCUUAACAGCAGUGCUGCAUGAAAGAAAUACUGAUUUGCACAGUGCMGUGGAUCUUCCUAAGAACAGAGAAUGAGCCCAGGUACCUUCUUUUUUAUGUCACAGGCCWUGAAAAGUAGCGCUAAGUGAGAUAUGAGCUGCCCUGAACAGAUGCAGCUGGUGUGUUUGACUGUGAUAAGUGGUGGAAAAGCAUGCCAUAUCUUCCCUCAGGAAUGUGUUUAUUGGUUGAAAUGUUACAUCCGAACAUUCCAUUUUUUACUGGCCACAUGAUUAAGAUCAGAGUCAAAAACACAACUGUGCAGAUCUCAACCACUGGGACCAUUGCUGUGCACUGAGAUAACCAAAAAAGAGAGGCACAGUGCUCUCAGUCUCUAAGGCUGCUGAUUAAUUGCYACAGUUCCUCUGGAUCCCAGCGCCUCUGGAACCUGUGAGAAACUCCUUUUCAUACUACUACAUUGACUUCUCAAGAAAAGUUUAAGUGCUUCAUAAGCAUAAAUUAAUUCAGCCAAACAGCAUUUCUGUGAUGUGGGAAAACCUGUGAUGCCUACCUGACACCACUUACUUGUCUUGCUUAAUAUUACAAACUGAAUCAGUGAUGUAGAUAAGAACCAUACUCGGGAUCCCUAUUUCUGACUUCGUUGCUUCACACAGUGAAUGCAGACAUGGCAAACUCGCAAUACUCAACAGAACAAGUGGCUGAAUUGUGACUGGUGCAUCUUUGCAUCAUAGUGCAAAAACAAUUCCUUUCAUGAAUUCCUCCUCUCGCUUCAAAAACUAGCUCUAGUGAAAGGAAAAUGCUCACUCUUACAAAUGUGGCACAAAACUUUUUCUGCUCUUUAUCUUUUACCCCCCUAAAACUGAGUGGCUUUAUUUAAGAUUCACAGUCCAAUUUCUGACCUAGGUGGCUGAGUUAACGGACUGGCCUUUAGAUUUGGUUCCCUCUGGAGUCACCAGACAGGUGUGUAUUUAGGAGGUUCCUCUGGAGGAUGAUUCAGAACAAAAUUCCAAGUCAGGUGGUCAGAUUUGAGCUGAUGCCUAAAGCCUUAACAAACUCUUGUUCCUGAUUGCAAUGGGUGGAGCUGGGAUUCAUCUGAGAACACAGUAUAAAAGAAGUGAAAUAUGUCUGACAGAGAAAAGACCAAGAGGUGAUUAUGCUUGUACCAUGUUUGUGCAUCUAUGAGGGCUCUAAGCAACAGGAAUAAAUGUACAGUGGAGACAUCURUGUUACAGGCUUGUCACAGUACUGAGCACAACUCAGAAACUAUACAUUAGCUUUUGAUGGCUGAUUAAAAUUUCCAGUUUUGCAUUAAUAAUGGGACAACCUGUUGUCAUUUGCCUUCUCCCUUACAUAAAACCUUCUGCCAGACAUUAAUUUUCCAGUCGGGGAGGCUAAAUGCAUGUGAACAUUAUCUGAGGGAUCUUGAAUAUCUUUUCCAAAGACAAGACAAUGACACUUCUCCGUGCAAGUUCAAACAUGACUCUCCCAUGUUGCAAAGAACUGUCAAAUUGAAUAACAGGUACAGUGAAAGCACUUCUUUCCCAAACUAUUCAAAUGAGCAGCAGCUUAAAUAAACAGAACCUGGCUAAAGGUUACAUGAAAGAUUUGUCAUAGCAAGAAGUAAUAUUUGAAUGAUAAUAUCUCUUAGUUUAUUCAUUAUUUAAAGUUACUCUUUUAAAUAGACCUAGAGCAGGUUCCCAGGUAACCCCUGMGAUAAAGUUAUCAGUCUCUGUCUCUCAUCUUCACUACAUCCUGCCAUAAAUAAUGCCUUUGCACAUGGUAUCUCCUACCAGUGGUGAUUGCAGUAACUCUUUGGCUCCCAGCAGAAGUAGUUGGGGGUGUGGUUAAGCCAGGAUGCAGCGAACAUGAUUCAUACAAAAAACCUCAGACCUUGGACUGGUUGUAAGGGAUUCCCACGUUUAUUAUGUGGGAAAGUGUUGAACAUAUUGUAUAAAUUAUACAAUGGAGCUGAAAGAUUGGGAUUUCCCUGUGUUAGUCAGUUGGUUACUACACCAGAUUUAGACUGUCAUUAAAGAAGAAAAUAAGAAUCUUUCUUAUUAUAGACAGCAAGACAAUAUUCAAGAUACUUUUUAAUUAAGAGAAUCCCAGAGAAAUUAGAAAGUGAUGCAGAAAUUGGAGCCACAACUGAUUUGCUUUUUGCAAAUAAGCACAACCUUUACAAUGAAAUGGCUUUUUUUUUUUUUU